rnacentral:rRNA from 1 species
AGCGAACGCUGGCGGCAGGCCUAACACAUGCAAGUCGAACGAAGUCUUCGGACUUAGUGGCGGACGGGUGAGUAACACGUGGGAACGUGCCUUUAGGUUCGGAAUAACUCAGGGAAACUUGUGCUAAUACCGAAUGUGCCCUUCGGGGGAAAGAUUUAUCGCCUUUAGAGCGGCCCGCGUCCGAUUAGCUAGUUGGUGGGGUAAUGGCCCACCAAGGCUACGAUCAGUAGCUGGUCUGAGAGGAUGACCAGCCACAUUGGGACUGAGACACGGCCCAAACUCCUACGGGAGGCAGCAGUGGGGAAUCUUGCGCAGUGGGCGAAAGCCUGACGCAGCCAUGCCGCGUGGAUGAUGAAGGUCUUAGGAUUGUAAAAUCCUUUCACCGGUGAAGAUAAUGACUGUAGCCGGAGAAGAAGCCCCGGCUAACUUCGUGCCAGCAGCCGCCGUAACAC